rnacentral:tRNA from 1 species
GCCAGUAUGGUGGAUAUGACCCUCAGCUUGUAACCAAGUGGGCUCGGGUUCGAAUCCCGAAUGAGGCA